UCUCUCUCUCUCUCUCUCUCUUCAGGCAUCAUUUUGUAUUACUGUCUGAUCGCUUUAAUGCAGAAGUCUGUAACUCCACACAUAAAACCCAAACCGAUUGAAAAGUUUUUGUAAAGCAUAUUCAAGGCCAUGCCUCUUAGAAAGAGCAUUUCCAAUUCAACAGGAACACCAGCUGAUGAUUGGUGGCUGGGAGUUAACCUUGCACCGAUUUUGGUUUUAAAUAGGAAAGCUGCUCACGUUGCUUGUGUUGUUUAAGACUCCAUGUUGUUGUUUCAUGUUGGUGAUUGAGCUCCUCCUCUGGCAUCAUGGCAUCACUCGACAGUGAAAAGUUCAAAGAAUACAUGCAGAAAGUUGGUAUGAAAGAGCCUUUACUGACAUUUACCUGCUCAGCCAAGCCUAAUCUGAUCAUCACCAGGGAUAAGGAGACGAUUUCAGUAGAGGCUAAAAGCACUUUGAAAACGGACAAGAUCAAGUUCAAGCUGAAUGAAGAGUUUGAUGAGAAGACACCAGACAGUCGUCAGGUACAGUCCAAGUUCUUCCUGAGAAAUGGCAAACUCAUCCAGGAAUAGCGCUGGGAUGGAAAGAGUACAACGCUGGAGAGAGUGACUGAAAAUGGAAAGCUUGAAGUUAAAUGCAUCAUGGGUGAAGUUGUUGCAACAAGGAUCUAUGAAAAGGAAGCAUGACCUCCCCAUAACACAAACAAAUGCAACUUUCUACUCAGUUGUGGUUAUUUAAUACCGUCUCUGCCUUGUUGUGUGCUUUCAUUGACUUCAUCUGUAAGGGUCUACAAAUAUGCUGUAAAAUUGUGGGUGGAGCUUAUGUUCAGCUCCUCAUGUACAAGUUUGUAAGUCUGAGAUUUCAAAGCUACUCAUCAACACAAAACCGAACUGGAAUGAUUUUCCCAGCACUUAAAAAUUGCAACUUGUCAGAUAUUUGGAGAUGAAUUUGACCUGCCAUUUACAUGAAGACUUUCUUUAUUCAGAGCAAAUGCUAAUAACACAAUAGAACAUCUCAAGACUCUUCAGACAGCAAGAAUUAUGAGGGAUUGAGAAGCAGUGGAAACAAUCGGAGAGGCUAAUUAUACCAUAUUUGACAAAAAACAUAAAUUUCACUGAAGUGGGUUUGAAGCAUGUUUACUUUUAUAACUGACGAUCUCCCAUCAGGCUAACCACAGACUCUAAAUUAUCCUCAGCUGUUGGUACAUGUAUUAACGCUCGCCCAUUUUUGUUUACCUCUGUGGUAGACUGGUCACUUAUCUAAGUUUACUUGCAUUUAUCCCUAUUUUGAACUUGAACAGAAUUUUAUCUUCAACAAUCCUGCAUUAGUACACAAGUACAGACAAGUAUGCAUUCCUACACGCUGUUUUAUUUCUGGUAACAAAUGAGAAAUGUUCUUGUUUUAGUAUUAAGCUUUAAUGUCGUUAAAAAAGCAACACAUUGCACAAGAAAUCUCUGAAGCCAGAACUGUGUCAUCAGUAAAGAGUAGCAGGUCCUCUCUUUGGCUUCUGCUCUGAGUCAGAGGAACUUUCCUAAACCUUUUCCUUGUUGGAAAAAUAUAAUCAUCAAAUGUUUUUCCAGUGAACAUUGCGGUUAGCAUGUCUUUUUGGUGAACGAUAUAUCUGACUGCUGUCUCGAUAAAACUUUGGGGUAUUUUAUUGGCUUUUUGUGGUUUUAUGAUAGACCUCCCGGGAAGGAGACACGACAAGGACUGAUCUGAUAUUUGGAAACAGACUGGAGGCGACGUGUGAGAUGUGUCACAUUAAACAGAUAAUUAGAUAUUCCUUCUACUUUUUUUCCAGUUGAACUUCAGUGACUCACCACAAUACUAAGGAAGACUAUUGCCCUUAGGCCUCCGUCUUACUCUGGCGGUAAGUCUUUUUGUGAAUUGGGUAUAGCAUUAGUGUUCGUGUUUAUUAUCCACCUGUUUAGUAUCCUACUGUA